UCUGACAUGUAAAAGCAGCUGCACUCUGACUGACAGAGCAACAUACGUCUGGUACAGAAACUCACAGCCAUUAACUGAGAGAAGAGACAGAAACAAUCAACUCCUGCUGCAGUCAGUCAGAAGAGAGGAUGCAGGCAGAUACAGCUGUGCUCUACAGGAACACACUUACAUCUCUCCUGCUGUUCAGCUCAGUGUCACGUACCCACCAAAGAGUGUCUCAGUGUCCAUAAAUGGAUCUGGUGAAAUAGUGGAGGGAGAUUCAGUGACUCUGAUCUGCAGCAGUGAUUCAAACCCUCCUGCUCUGAACUUCAGCUGGUUUAAGG